UACAUUGUGUAGUUGAGCUCCAUUUGUCAGGACUCCCUAGAGAGAACGCACCAAAAAGCUUCUGAUGGUGUGCUGUGGCUUCCUCAGAUUCUGGCCGAUUGGCAGAGGGAUAUCGGCUGAUACAGAGUCAAGUGGAGUUUUGCUAAGAUGGUCUUACACGUUGAGGUCAGACCUGUGGAGGACACAUGGUACCUGGAUGGAAUAUAGGUGGGAACAGGGGCGGGCUUACAUAGCUAGCUUUGCAAUGCUUUGUUGGUCUUGAGUCUUCCCUGAGAGAGGCACAGUAUAGAACCUCUCCUGGUGUCCCGGUUGGUCCUGGUCCCUCCUGCUGACUCUUGCCAAUUCAGCUGAGUUCUGAAUAUUCCUGCUAGGUCCUGCCACUGCGGCUGCUAUCCUGACACCACUGAACUCAACUGCUGGUAUAUCCCUGAAGUGUUUGCCAGUGGAUCAAGCUGCAACCGCUCACCUGUGAACUGAACUGCUGAUUUCCCGACCACACAGAUGGGAGUUGCUCCAAAGAACCGUUUCUAUAAAGGUCCACUUCCCCCAUAUCAUAAUAACAUUUUCACCCCCACUACCUGUGGUGGGUGGUGGGCUAGAAGGGAGGUUAAAGUGUUUCAGGACUAUCAUUAAAAGUAGGUUUUGAAAAAAUUAAAGUUCCACAAAUCUCUCCACCCAUUGUCCCCUCCCCUCCCCUUAGAGAAGAGGGAGCCCCCUUUGGGUACCGCCUGACCCUGGGAUGUCUAGUUCUAGCAGACUAGGCAUAUCCUCCUCCACAGAGGCCCAAGCAGACAGUCUAGGUAGGGGAAGGGGGUAUAAUGGCAGGGAACAGAGACUGAGACAACCAUAGCUCUGCUCGUUAGGCGUCCCACAUGGAGACGAACCUGCACUUUAGGUCCAGCUCCUGCACACUCCCUGGUUGGUCACCCAAAUCUUUCAAAAACUGAAACAAGUGCUCAAGAAAUGGGUGUGCUACAGAGUGGACAGCCUCUUGUUUUAUUGAAAGUUCUUGGUUAAAUCUCUGUGUAUAGCGGCGUAUGCCUGUAACUUCAGCCCUUGGGCAAUUGAGGCAGGAGGAUUUCAAGGUUUAGGCAACUCUGGGCUACCUAGCAAGACCUUGUCUCAAAUAAAAGAGGAGGUGUCACCAUGUAAUUUGCUGUUAGUUACAGUUAUUACUGGUGGUUGUAGCAGUGGCUUUUCUAAAAGGAAUGGUGAUUGGUCUGUUGGAAAGGAGCUUGUGAAGGAGCUUGUUCUCAGCUUUCCUGCGCUGCUUGGCUUUAAGUGGAGUAGAAGCACUGUGGCCCAACAAUGGCUUUAUUUCAAUGCAGUGAUUAAGUUUAAUUAGAGGAAGACAAAUACUUCCUUGUGUGGAAAUCACAACAUCUUUCUUCUGUAAAUGUCACCCACGUCUGUCUUUGAGUCGGGAGAACUAUGUGUUAGGAGCAGAUGUGAGCUGUGUAGAAAGCCCUCCUUCAGUGGAGUUUUCCUGAUUUUGGUUUUUAAGCCACAGUUUACCACAGAGAUCCACAGGGCUUUGUCUAGCACUCAGUGACAGUUGAUGGACUGAUUAGAACAAUAUGCGGUGUUUAUGCAGUAUUUACUGUGCCUUCCGUUUUAUCGGUAGAAGCAUUCCUCAUUUAGCUCUGGGUAUCAUAAUCUCUCACCCUAGUGGUGUCACGAUCCUUCCCAAGUCUUGGGAGUAGCUACUUGAAUGGUAUUCAUUUCUCUGGAGUGGCUUAGCUUGCAAAUGGCUGGAGAACACAGGAUUAACAAUGGGUUCCCGCUCUUUGGAUUUCUUGCAGAAUUACAGUAACAGUGCCCUUAAAAGUAAUUUUUUCUCUUCAUUAAAAUAGUCCCACUUUCCUGAUACCUCCAUCAUCUGACUUUGCCCUGUUUCUUUUUUUUGCCUGAGGUACCUGCUGUUGCAGAAUCGUGGGAUGCUCUGUGUAGAAUUUCGAUAUCCCCAAGUAGACACUUAGAAAGAUCCUCUGUGCAAUGUUGAAGGCAGUUGGACCUAACAAGCUCCUCUUGCCCUAUGAAAUCUGCUGAAUGCUUACUGUUGAACUCUUACUGUUUUCUUCACCUCUUUCCUGCUUUCUCUGUGCAAGCGAGACUAGAAAUUAUUGCUCACUUCUCUCUUGAUUUUGCCAGUGAGCCUUGACUAGGAGCUUUGGUCACGAAUCCGACUGAGAUGCCCUAUUUCCCAACUGUCUGUAAUAAGCUGUGCUCGGUUGUAGGAGGCAGACUGGAGCAAAUGGAUUCUCCGACGAUGUGUACAGCAAGCACCUGGAGCUAGUCUUGUUUUAUUGAGUUAUCCAUGCUGUUUCGCAUAAGAAGUUGUGUUGAAACACUUACUGCUUCUCUGCUUGUCUUUAUUGGUUUGAAAUUUAGAUCUUCUUUUUUAUUGGUGGUGGUGAUUGGAGCAGGUUUUAAAUAUGAUAUGCAAUUAUCUUUCUGUCAUGUUCAUUUCGGCUUAAUUGCCUAUUCUAUAUCAUAAUGGGCUAAGUCAGCAGACGAUGUCCCUUUGCCCGAGAGAGCUAAGGUCUUCUCCAUAUCCUUAUAAAGUAUUUGAGGUAAUUCCAGGCAACAUUGAAACCACCACUUUGGAAACACAUCCAUCCCUAUUCCCCUCAAAACUGCUUAACCACCUAGCAUUUUCUGCCCAGAUAGAAUUUGAUUCAAGCCUUCCUUUGUUUUUGUCUUUGUUGAUUGCACUGUAUAAUUUUGGUUACUGAUGCAUCCCCAUCUUUUAAAUACAUUCACUCUUUGCUGUCUGCAGAUUUUCAAACUCAAAAAAGUUUGUGUUUUCUAGAGGCACUGUAUUUGGAGUUUUGCAAAGACAAAGAAUAGAAUUGUGUUUAUUAUCCCUAUCUAGAAGAUGAACUAAUGAGAGGCUGUUUGGAUUAAAGUCAUCCAACUAAUCCAGCCAUUAUGGGAUCAUUCCUUUAUCCAUAAAAAAAAUUUUGGAUUCAUCUCCAUAACAAUUUUAAACUAAGUUUUAGAUUUGGAAUUUAUUUUUAGGUUUACUUUUUUAUCUUACAUGUAUGACUGUUUGCUUGCGAAUGUGUAUGCCCUGGGAGGUCAGAAGAAGCAUCAGGUCCCCAGAGCUGGGGUUACAGAUGUUUUUCAGCUUCCACAUGAGUGCUGAAAACCGAACUCGGGUCGUCCUUUAGAGCAACAAGUACUCUUAGUCCCUGAGCCAUCCCGCCAGCCUCCUAAAUUAGACUUUGAGGCUAGAUAUUGGCAUGGGCUCUGAGCUAUUGUCAAACAGUUUCUUGAUCCUUUUAAAAAAAUAAUUGGUUCUGGAAAGCAUUUCCUAGAAGGUCUAAUUCAUUUGUAGCAGAGGGACUGAAUAUGUGCACUUAAAAAUUAAUCUUCUUUUAGUUAUUUCUUUAUGUGUGUGCAUGUGCCUGAUAGGGCAUGUGUGUGGAGCUGAGGACCACUAUAGGAGCUGCUUCCCCCUUUCUGCCAUGAGGGUCCCUGACAUCAAAGUCAAGUAGUUGGGAUUGGCAUCGAGCACCAUUACCCUUUGAGCCAUCUCAUCAGCCCCAACAUUCGUGUUUUAAGCUUCUUAGGGAAGUUUGUACAGAAUUGUAGUUUGGAGUUGUGCUAAGUUUUUUCCCCUCUCUCUACAAAGUAGAGUCACUUAAGAAGAAGGAACCUUCAUUGAGGACUCGCCUCCAGCAGACUGGUCUGUGGACGUCCGUGGGGGAAUUUUCUUGAACGAUGAUUGUUGUGGGAAGGCUCAGCCCACUGUAGGCUGUGCCACCGCCGAGCAAGCCGUGAAAAAGCAAGCCACUAAGCAGCAUCCCUCCAUUGGUUUCUGCUCCAACUCCUGCCUUGGUUUCCUUCAAUAAUGAUAACAAACCAUAAACAUUAAGGUGAGGAACACCAUGGAGGAGGUGGCAGGAAGAUUGCAAGAGCCAGAGGUCAGAGAGGACCGGAGUGGAACAGUGACCUCUGGAUAUGACGAGACUCUGGAUGUCAUGAAUUCAUAGUGGCUAUGGUUGCUUCACAAGACCUAGAUAAGACCAACAGAAGUCAACAUUUCAGUACAGAUGGGGGAAGGGCGCACGAGCCCCACCCUUCACUGAGGAGCUACUGGCAGGUGACGGCUCCUCGGUGAGGCAUAGUCAGUUUUCUUCAGGCGUAGAGUAGGCUGGACAUGCUCUAAUGGUGGCUCCACACACACGCAUAUAUGGGCAAUACUAGUUGAACAUCAUAGGUUAAAAGAAGUCAAAAUCGAGAGCAGCAUGUGAGAGUGGAUCUAGAGGGGGAGAGUCAGGGUAAAUACAACUGACUUAUGGUAUGUAUAUGCAUGUAUGACAUUCUCUAAGGAAAAAUAAAAAUAUUAUAUCAAAAUA
rnacentral:sRNA from 1 species